GAAGGCCGACUGCCCUGGGUCCCGGCCUGCGCGCAGCGUUUCCCAAGAGUUCCUUCUUGGCGUUAGAGUCAUCGGCCGGCUGUGUUGUAGCCAAUGUGCUGAGCUUUGCGGCUCCUGGAGCUAGCUCCCUUCCUCUCCGCUGCCUCCAUGCGUGGAGGUCACUUGCUGGAACGCAGAUGUGUGCAAUGCCCAGAGAUCCAAGUAAAAUAUCUCAACCGGUUCUUGUGGUUGUGGAAACACCUUUGGCUCCCAGAUGGUUGACACUGACAAACAGAAGUCCCUGCUCCGUCUGACAUCACGUGGCUCAGCUGCCUUCUCAAAAAGUGAGCUUCCUGUGUGGAUAAGGCAGCCCCAUAGCCAGCCUGGCAACAGACAGCUUCAUGAGAAGGGAAAAGAUGAAGACGGAUUCCCGGGCGAGGCCGACAGUGAGGCCGACAGUGGAUCCGCCAUUCCUGCCUGAGCCUCUUCCACAGCUGUCCUUUUUAGAGGUCACCAGACCUUCCUCACACAGACCUCAUGGUGCCCGCACCUGGACUCAUUAGAAGUCUUAGGGCUGGAAGAGAUGCAGCUCUGGGCUGGCUCUGAUGCGGACUUGUCACAAAGGCUUGGCUCUGCCCACGUGACCGUAUCCUUGGAAGAAAAAAAAAAUGGGGAUGCACAAAGUGACCAGCACAGGGUAUUCGUGAUGACCGGGGAACAGAGAUUGAGAAAGCAAGAGCCUUCCUGGCAAAUCUGGGUUCAGACGCGGCAGAGACAGCUGUUUCCAGCCACUGCUAUGAACCCAUCUAAGUGAAAUUGUGAGGACUAAGGAGAGAGGCACCCAUGACUGCCUUAAUCCACUCCUACCCAUCGUCUCUUCACCCAUCCACCCAUCCUUGCUGCAGACCUUUACUGGGCACCUGUGCCAGGAGACCAUCACUGCCCAUCAGAAGCUCAUACAGGGAGAAGCAGUGGCCACAGCAGAAGGCGUCCCGGGUCCUAGAGAGCACCUGGAGAACAAGGGAGAGCUGCAGAAACCGCCCUGUCUGCAUGUGUGCCCUCAUGUUCUUGGGUGCAUGUCUGUGUUUGUGUGUGUGUUUGCUUAUGUGCAUGUGCAGUGUGUGUGUGUUCGAGACAGAGCGAGACUGAGAGUGCAAGUGGGUGUAAGCACACACACCCACCCGUCAGCCCUGCCUGUCUGCUCAGAGUUUUGCCUGUCACCCGGCCACGCCCUGUGACCCCCCUCCUCGGCUGGGUGCAGCCAGGACACCUGUUGCCAGCUGCGAGCACCUGCCUGGUUGCUGCGCCCGUGUCCUGUGCAUGUUCCAAGCCAGCCCCCUGGGGUAAUCCAGGCCAUGACUCAGGAACGUCAUGUUGGGACACCCGAGACCCCCAGCCCCUGCCCUAGGGGUCAGGGCAGCAGGUCCCAUCUCCCUUAGCUGGGCUGGGCCCAGGCAGCCUGUAUCACUGUUUGCUCCAGAGGCUGGGUGCGUCCUGCUUGGGGGCUGUGUGAGGCCCGCUUGUUUUCACCCACAGAUUCCCAGGGUUCUCAAGGCAGAGGAAAGCGACAAUUAGGGCAACACCCAUGUUGGUUGGAUCAGAGUGAAUCCCAGGCCUGCUUGGGAGGCUUUAGGCACUCAGCUCGGCCAUCUCUGAGGGUAAGGGCAUGUCAGCCACUCUGCUGGGGCAUCUCUGUGCUCAGCACCAUGUGGGCUCAUCACAGACACAAGAGUGCGUCCUCUCAGAGGGAAUGGUCUGGCAGGUUUUGCCUGUUUUCCUGCUCACAGGUUGAAUUUCUUGGCCAGCAUCCCAUAGCCAGGCCAGAGCGGAGCAGGGCUGCCUGCUGCACCCAGUGGCUUCUUGUCAAUCUCGGCCUCUCGUUCCCUGCCUGGGAGAGGGUCUCAGUGUGAAGGGCAGAGGGGUCUUCUGGAACCAGCCAGUGCUGUGUCGGAGAGAAAGACCAGGAGGAAAUUGGAGGGGUACAGGCCUGAAACUCUCCCGCUGCCUUGCCAGGCACCCAAACCUGCUUGACCUGAGUGUCUUUCCGGCGGCGGGUGGGGGGGAGGGGGGUGGGGCGUGCUGCAUCGCUUACUUUGCCUGUGUCUUAGGGGAGCCUACCCAUUGCCCUCCAGCACCGGCGAACAAAGACCCCCACGGUGGCCAGGCCUGUGCGGGGUGUAAACAGUGUCCCAGGGUGUCUUGGUGUCCUCACUACUACAUCCUCCACGUUCCAGAGGAGAAACUGAGGCCCGAGGACACCCAGAAUUUCCCAGGGUCACACCAAGGGGAAACAGGUGACGUUGAAGUGGACACAGGGUGAUGAGAGGGGUGCAGAAAAGGAGAUACCCUGGCAUGCCAAGCCUGGGGCUGGUUGUCCACAUCCAGGAAGGUCCCUGCAAGGUUGUGGCACCUUUUCAUGGCAAGCAGACGCAGCACCAUGAAUACCCACAGCCACUCCUAAGGGCCCCUUCAUGCGGUGGCUGUGCCCAGCACUGGGCACGCAGGAACCAAGGCCCAGAGAGUUCUGGGUGGGUGGGGAGAGCUAGAGCCUUCCUUCUGGGCUCCAGGGCUUUUCAGUAGCACCACUGGCUUUCUAGAAGGUUGCUGUGUGAUUGGAAACUUGUGCUUUGAGAUACGAUUAUCUGUGUGGGGAGGAGGUUGUACUGGAGUCAGCAGUGAGGGGUGGCAGCACUAGGCCAGAAAUGGAUGUGGGGUCCUCUUGCGUGGAGCUGCCACUCCCCCAGCCACUCUGUCCUUACAACCAAAACCCCAAAAGGGGGCUGAGCCGGCCCUUGUGAGUGAGAGUAGAGGAGAAGGAAGGGGCUGUGGGGGGAGAGAAGCACAUGGAGCUGGCCCACGUGGAGAGAGGGACCCUGGGUGGCAGGGUGGCGUUGGGGGAGAUUUGCCAUCAGAGUGACCUUAGUGACUGUGCCACCUCGACCCUGACCUGGGCAAUGCCUGUGAGGGCACUGGGGCCCAAGGUCCCAGAGGAGCAGGGGAACUAAGAUGUGGCUCUCACAGAACCUCAAAUGUAUCUCCAGACAUCCACAUAUCUGCACCUGACACACAUUUCUGGAACAGCUACUUGGCCAAGCACCACCAGUUUGUCUCUAUGCCCCUCUUGCUGGGGAGCCCAGUCUGGGGCAAAGGAAGGCACAGGGGCAUCCGCUCCAGGCUUUCCAGAAUAGGCAGAACACAGAAGGGGUGCCCGCCGGACACGCGGAGGGAGGAGAUGAGAAGAGUCCCCAGCGCCAGAAGGGGUGGAGACGGCCUUGCUGGGGCAGGGCCACAGGUCACCUGCUGCUGGGCUCUGGCUGCAGUGGGAAACAACCAAAGUUUUAAAAAGAGGGUGAACCUCUUAGGAAAGGAAAUGACAUUUAUAAAGAGGUAGGGACGUGGGGGCAGGGAUGAUGGCCUUGGUGGCCACAGCUCUUAAACCAGUGGGGAGGAGGCAGCCACGCCAGCAUGGUGAGAUCCAAGCCGCAGUGACGGGGCUGCACUCGCUCCAGGUAGAUUGCUCAAAUGGAAGCUUCUGGAUGGAUAACUAAGGCAGCACAACCCCCAGUCAUUGUCUGAGGGCCACCCUGGGGGAUGGAGCGAGUGCAGGCCAAGUGGAUGCAGGGCCCACGGCCAGUUUCCAGGGUGAGCUGCAGGGCAAGCCGUGGGAAGCCCCAGAGGCAGACGCUGAGGGAUGGGCACCCCAAGAGAGUCCAGGGAUCCGAGGCCACCUGGGUGGAGCCCGGACAGCGUCUACUCCAGGGAGCAAAGCUGAGGCAGGAGCCGAGGGCUUUCCAGUGGAUGUGGAGACUUCGGCUUACUCCCGCACUGACUUUAUCCCAUUUCUGAGCCUGUCGGCACGUGUAGAGCAUUUUGGGCUCAGUUUCUCUAGAGACUAACUGUGGCCUCCCAUGGGGUGGGGACAGGACAGUCUCCCGGCUGCAUGGAAUGGGAUGCCGACCGAGGGACGGGCUCUCUCUUAAAGACUUGCCACCACACCUCUCUUGUCCAUGCCAGGCUUCUGGGGUCCCCUCUGCUGCAGGUGCUUCGGGAGUCUCAGUGGUUCUUCAGGGCAAAGCUGGCCCUGACCGUGUGCUGCAUGCCCGGAGGUCUGACAUCGGUGCUGCUGAGUGGCCUGCCGUGGUUCUCUUGGUUUCCCAUCUUGCAAAGAGUCGGUGAACUCUCACCUGCUCUUGUCUCCUCGUCUCUGUGCCCUGUCCUCCUGCGGGGCUUGGGAAACCAUAGGUGAUAAACACAUGAGCCAAUCUGCCAUCUCCACUGGAGCCAAUGCUCUUUCUGUGUUCCCAUUGGCCUGCCUAGGACUGAGGUCAGCUCCAGGGUCAGAGGCAGGACUGGAGUUGGGUUCUAACUGAGGCAGAGACAGGGCUUGGGAGAAGAAAUCAAGGUGGAGGGCAGAGGCUCCAGGUCUUUGCCAGGCUCACCUCAGAAGUGGGUGUGUCAGGCUGUCCAGAGUGGAGUGCACAGAAGCUGGGGCUUUGACAAGGGCAGGGUGACCAGUCCAGGCUGGCCUCAAAGGCAAGAGCUUGACUGCAGGGCCAGCAGGCGUGUGAUGUGGGUGGGCCCUAAGGAGGCUGAGGGAGAGGAUAAACUGUGAAGAGCCAGCAGCCCAGAAGCUAAAUGCAGGGAGGCAGAGAAGACAGGAGAGAUGGAGGCUUGCAGGACCUGGUGGUUGGGGAGGGCCAGUGACCAGGUGUUUAGAAGCAGCACCUCCUGUGAUUGGGGCUGAGGGUGAACUCUGCUUUCAAGCAGAGGUGGUUUGUCGUGGGUCUUCCAUGAUGACACCAGGUCAAGGUAGGCUGUUAGCACUGAGGCCUGUGGGAAGGCGAGGCCCGUGGGCAGAGUCCCAGAAUGGGAGGAAAAUGAAGACAGCCACUGCAGGGACUUGGGUGUCAUUCUGAAGGAAGCCACUUAAUGGUAAAUGGAGCAACAACAUGGUAGCCUUUCCUCUGGGGGAGCCCAGAGACAAGGGGGGUCUGGGGAGGCAGGCAGGCAGGCAGGCAGGUCAGGCCAGGGAGGGGCUGUGCCCAGCAGGGAAUGGAUGGCACACUCCCUCCCAGAAAGGCUGCUGCAGGGCUCAGCACUCUGAACCUUAAAAGGUUUACCCAACAGAGCCUCCAGAUGCUCAGAGUCUUGCAGGCUCAGAACAAGAAUUGUCAACUUGCCAAGAUGAAUCUGUCUCUCGGGGGAGGACCCACACAGAACAAACGUUUGAAGCAGAAGUUUGCUUGGUAAACAUGGAAUCGGAACAUGGGAAUUGGGCCACUGGGAUAUUCAAUUGCGUCAGACCAUUGUAGCUGAUACUCCUGGACAGAGGGGCUUUGCCAACUGGACAGAUAUAUGAAGUGUUGCUGACCGAGCUCCUUGCUCUGUGUGGGAGGGAUCUUGCCAGCUCCAGCCUUGGUGGGUCUCCUUUUUCUGUUUCCAAGCUUAAAUAAGCACUUGGCUGUUCUGAUUAGCACUUUUAAAAGCUGUGUUAAUAAGUUCAAUUAAAAUAGAAGAAUCUCUCAUUCUGUCAUAUCGGGUUUUUUUAAUUGCAAACCAAUAAAACUUAAAUGAACUUGAGCAAAA
rnacentral:lncRNA from 1 species